AGGGCUGCUUCCCGCAGCAUAUGGAGGUUCCCAGGCUAGGGGUCGAAUCGGAGCUGUUGCCACCGGCCUACACCACGGCCACAGCAACACGGAAUCCGAGCCACAUCUGUGACCUACACCACAGCUCAUGGCAACACUGGAUCCCGAACCCACUGAGCGAGGCCAGGGAUUGAACCCGUGACCACAUGGUUCCUAGUCAGAUUCGUUAACUGCUGAGCCACAAUGGGAACUCCUUUUCUUUUUUCUCUUUUUUUCUUUUGAUCUGUCAUACUGAGAAAUUCUUUACUGUUUUUCUGAAGUUCAAAUUGAACUGGGUGUCCCCUGAUUUAUCUGAGGACCCCACCCCAAGACCCCAGAUGGCCCACCAGCUCCUACCCUAUCUCCUUACCUUCACUGUCUGACGUUUGAAAGAUUUGAGUUCACCUGCUGUCACUUGCCAUGUCUUCCCAGGUUUCCACGGCCUGGUUUUCAUGGUUAACCCUCCUCUGAAAGAGCUCUCAUUAAGGUCAAUACCACGUUGGCAUUCCCUGGUGGCUCAACCAGUUAAGGAUCCGAUGCUGUCACUGCUGUGGCAUGGGAUCGAUCCCUGGCCCAGGAAUUUGCACAUGCUGUGAGUAUGUCCCCCCCCAAAAAAAUGUCAAUACCUUAUUGCUAAACCCAGUGUAUGUCUUAUUGUCACCUCUCCAGCAUCUUGGUGGCCUUGGGUAGUCCUGACUCUAUGCUCCCCUGUGGGAUUCUAGAGACCCUGCCCUGGGCCUCUGUGAUGCCCCUUUCCCACUGUCCCUCCUCUCCCCAUCCCCACAGGGUCUGCAGCUAACACUGGACCUACCCCUUCUUUCUCCAGGUUUUCCUGGUUCUGCUGACCAUGCUGCUGUCUUCCCAACUGCCCAAGGUAGGGACUGGGGCCUCGGGUCCCACCCCUAGAUCAUUCCCCCUGCUGGAGGAGCCCCCCUCCCAUUUUUUGAAUCCAUUUUCCUCCCCUUAGUCAAGGAGAUCUUUCUAAAAUGCAAAUCACAUGGGAUCCCUUCCCUGACUCCCUAGUCAAUGUCCACGGUUUAACACCCUAGCUUCCUCAUUUAGCGUCUAAGAUCUAAACAUCUGGUCCCUGCAGAUCCAGAAGCUCCCUUCCUCCCUGCUCCAUUCCCUGGCCCUGACCCUCUCUCUCAUUCUCCUGGGCCCCGUGCUCCUUCUGGGGCACAGCCUGAAUAGAUAUCACCUCCUCAUCCCAUUCAUCCUCACCGCUCCCCCAGGAAGCCCUCCCUCCACCCCUUCUGGUGGGUGCUUCCCCACCUUCCCCAUCAAGCACCCAGAGCCAUCUUUUUACCAGCCUGGAAGCUCCAGGAGGGCAGCACUCUUCCUCCCAGUUCACAGUCCACUGGGCACACACAGUCCGUCCUGGAAACAUUGUAUCUCUUACCAGGAUGUACUUGUCAAUUCCCUGGACUCAAAGGCAAGGUGGGUCCUUUGUCUUGUGUCCUAGGGGAUGAUCAGAACACCCAGAGGAAGCCGGUCCAAGGAAGAGGUCAUCGUAUUUCAGAGUCACCCCCUUCAGGGGGUUUGUCAGAAUCUGCCUCUUCAGUUUGUAAAAGUUGUGUUGUUUGAAAAGCAUCAAUGGCUUAACUUGAAAUACAGCCAUCUGAAUCCAUAUUGAUAUAAAAAAAACCCAACAGGGAGCAUUUUUAUAUGUGACUAAAAUGUCCAUUGUUGGGAGCAAAAGAAACCCCAAACUCUAAAUCUUUCACCUACUUUGGCACCAAAGUCUGUUUCCAUUGCUGACAAAGAAUAGCACAUUAUUUCACUAUCAGCCUUUAUGAUUUGGCAUUGCAGGGUUGUUUUUCUUAGAUGUUCUUUUUGCCUGUGAAAAGGGGGGGGGGGCUGCGUGUUUUAUUACAGAGUCCUUUUCUAAAACGACAUAGGUCAUGAUUGCUCUGCCGGCCCCACCACAUGCAGACCACACAGAACUCACAAGCUGUGGGCCAGCACACCUCACCCACAGUGGAAAGACCCACUUAGCAGAGGAGGGAGACCCACUCACUUCAGCAGCCAGAGGCCCUCAUAUCAAAAGUUUCCAUUAGAGUGAUACCUUCCAUCAGAGAAGAAAAUCAAAAUUUGCUUCAGAAGUAACCUCAGCUCGUUCUUGCACAUUUCAAAAACUGUUUCCAUCUUAUACAUCCCUAAACACGAUCACUGAUUUUUGAGCAUAGAAAUUUCCAUUCAUUUCUAUUAACCUUAAUGAUUGGCUUUCCUAAAUUAAUCUCCAAAGAGGAUCAUUUGCCUUGAUUUUCAUUCUUAACUAUCGUUUGGGGGGAAAAGUGACUCAUAGUUCCCAAGUUCCUGUGUUUUUCAUCUAUAACAUUUACACAUUAUACCCAAAUAUAUGAUGAUAAAAUACGGUACUGCCUCUGUAAUAAACACAGCCUCUGUCAGAGAAGCAUUAGAAAUUGGGGACUUUCUGUGUUCUAAUCUGGGACAGAUGCGUUUAGUUAUCUUGGGUGACCAACCCAGCCUGUGGGAAUGACCGGUCGCUUUGUGUGUGUGGACAAUGAACAACAGAGAAUUAAACACCCAGGGUCCAAAGCGGGGAAGAAAAAAGCCACAAUGGAAUUUAUUGCUGUGGUCUGGAAGAGGAAAAAAAGGUUUAUACCCAGGUCUUUUCUGAAGCUGCAGUGGUAAAUGCCCUCAGCUUUGCUUUGCCUCUCAUUUUAAAAGGAUUGUAGCCCCAGUGGUCCUUCUCUUAUUCUUGCCAGAAUACCAAGGUAACAGGAUUCUUGCCAGAAGCCUCCUCAGCAGGCUUCCAAAAUAGCAGCCGGCUCCACCCAGAGACCCCACCUAUGAGCCCUUCAGAGAGGGUCAAAACGCUCCAAUCAAAUCUCGAGUAUUGUUCUCAAGAGUAACUGGAGUUCCCAUAGCGGUGCAGCGGAAAAGAACCUGACUAGUAUCCAUGAGGAUGCAGGUUUGAUCCCUGGCCUCGCUCUGUGGGGAAGGAUCCAGCAUUGCCAUAAGCUGUGGUGUAGGUUGCA
rnacentral:lncRNA from 1 species